UUUUUUUAGCCCAAAAAGUUAUACCCAAAAUUUAUACCAGGAGGUUUUCUAGUUGAACCCUAAAGUUACACAGUGGGUCCAUUCCUUUUUCCCACGAUUUUAUUCUCCUUUUCCAAUGGUAAUUACAGUAGAUUGGAGUAAGGAUUGGAUCCGGCACUAAAAGACUUCAAGAAGUGGCUUAUUUUAUUAAUUAAAUCAAAUUAAGAAAUAUUGUUUUUAUUAAAAGCUACCUUUGAAACAAUGGAAUUCAUUCCAUCUAUUUAAAUAAAAUCCGGUGUUUUCUAAACUCUGAUAUUUUUCCUAACUCACGAUCCUGAUGAAAUUUCCGCUGCAAUGUUUUUCAAAAUCAUCACCGGUACCACUGGACUGCUCGCGGCUUCCGAUUCCGGCUAGGAUGGGGUCGGGGGUCGU
rnacentral:lncRNA from 1 species